GACAGAGGAUGCAAGCGUUAUCCGGAAUGAUUGGGCGUAAAGCGUCUGUAGGUGGCUUUUCAAGUCCGCCGUCAAAUCCCAGGGCUCAACCCUGGACAGGCGGUGGAAACUACCAAGCUGGAGUACGGUAGGGGCAGAGGGAAUUUCCGGUGGAGCGGUGAAAUGCAUUGAGAUCGGAAAGAACACCAACGGCGAAAGCACUCUGGCUGGGCCGCACUGACACUGAGAGACGAAGCUAGGGGAGCAAAUGGGAUUAGGAUAACCCGGGUAG
rnacentral:rRNA from 1 species